UCCGGCCAUAUCACGUUGAAACACCAAUUCUCGCACGAUCACCGAAGUUAAGCAACGUCGAUCCUGGUUAUACCUAGAUGGGUGACCGUUUGGUAAUACCAGGUGCAGUAAG